UACGGGGGGGGGCAAGCGUUUGUUCGGAAUUACUGGGCGUAAAGGGCUCGUAGGCGGCCAACUAAGUCAGACGUGAAAUCCCUCGGCUUAACCGGGGAACUGCAUCUGAUACUGGAUGGCUUGAGAUUGGGAGAGGGAUGCGGAAUUCCAGGUGUAGCGGUGAAAUGCGUAGAUAUCUGGAGGAACACCGGUGGCGAAGGCGGCAUCCUGGACCAACACUGACGCUGAGGAGCGAAAGCCAGGGGAGCAAACGGG
rnacentral:rRNA from 1 species